rnacentral:lncRNA from 10 species
CGGGUUCCGUCCCCUCCUCGCCCCGGCCUGUAACUGCUGCGGGGGCCGCUUUCUGGGCCCGCCCCUCCAGGCCAGGAGCCUUUUUCAAAAUGUGGCGGUGGCAGGGAAGGUUGUCUGCUCCAGAGGCUUCCCUAGAGUGAAGAGCUCUACUAUGUAUGCUUUAUGCGGCAGAAGGAGUGCUUUGGAGGAGUUUUUAAAUUUGUUUUUUUUUUAAAUCUUAUCGGUUUUAAUUGUAGCAAUGAUUCAAGAAACGUUAGUAGGUGCCCAUAACUUCGGUGGUGGAGAUCCAAAAGUGAACAAGACAGUGUUCUGGCUGCUAAAUUCUUCUUAACUGGUUAUGCCUGGAGACCUUCACUUGGUUCUGUGCCAGCACUGCCCAUGAACUUCAUAGACUGUGAUCUUUGCUAAGGCCUAAAUGAAUGAAGUGUACACUUCUUUGGUUCACUGGAACUGAACAACAGCUGAAUGUUUAACCUUGAUUGCAGGUGCAGGACCGGAAGCAGAAGACAGAAAGUGGAGACCAGAUGUUUGAAGCUGGGUAAAGGCAGGGAUGGAGCAGGAACCGAGGAACAAACCUUGGAACUAGGCUCUGAGAUGUAUAAAGGCACAGUGAAUUCCUGAAUCAUCCUUUGAUCUUCCACAAGACUCAGUAUCACUGAUUAACUACAAUUUGAAUAUAGUUCAUCACUGAAGGAAUGAGUGAGUGAAUGAGAAAGUGAGCAAAUGAGGCCGUGGAGGUCACUUAAACCAGGGAUCAGGUUCAUAGAGGUCACCCAACACAAGAUGGAAUAGUCAAGUAAACCAAGUUUACGGAGUUAGACAAAACUCCAUAAGGCAAGGUCAACAAAGGCAGCUCUGACGGACUGUUCAAUCCUGACUUUAGGCUGAUGCUGGUCUCUACUCUGUCUUCCUCCUGAGAGUAGGGGGCCUGGGGGCCCUUAAAUAAUUGCUGGUGUUAAAAGGGAGUUCAAUAUUUUCAAGCAUACCUAGCUUCUGUUUGAAGAGAGACAGGGUAGAAGAAUUACCUGGAAGGGAUAGGGUACACACUGCCACCUCCAUUGCUAUAACGUUUUACUCUUGUCAACAGACUUUCACAUAUAUGCUCUUGAGUCAAGCACAGGAAGAAAUAAAUUUUGCUGCUGAAUUUGAAGCAAUUGGCCAUGGAAGCCAGUCUUCAGGGGCAUUAAAACAAAUGCCUAACAAAAGUUUAUUAUAAGGCACUUGCUCCACCUGAACUCAUUUCAUCGUUAGAAAAAAAUCUAAGAAGUAAAAAUUAAUAUCCUUCCCUUUUCACAAGAUGAUGGAAUCAAGAGCCUUAACAAGUUUUAAUGGCCUGCCAAGGGUCAUUUGUCAACUUCUGAGUCUAAUGUCUAUGUUCUACUCAUGACAUGGCAGUUGUGGUAUAGAGGGAUCUGAUACAUCAUGAAAAUAUAAACCCACAGAUUUUGAUUCUAAGAAAGUGACCCAAGUUGUGCUCAUUAUGGUUUUGCUUAAAAUUAAAGUUUAGAUUGAAAUGAUACCAGUUACGUGUUCUUAAAAACCUGCCAUGAUUUACUUUAGAUGAUGAUUGAGGACCUACUGUGUGCAAGCCACUGGGAUGAACAUCUUAUAUAUAGUUUUUUAUUUCAUCCCCAUAGUUAUCCUAGAGACAGGCAUGAUUCCCUUCUUCUUACAAGUGAAGAAACUAAGGCUCAGAAGCAUUGAGUGACUUGCUCCAAAUCAUAAAAUUAGUGGUGGAGAGAAAAUUUAAAGACAGGUUAUCUGGUUCUGGAAUCUACACUUUUACUAACUGCUCUCAAUGGCCUCUCCUUAGUAUUUGUGCCUUCAUUAAACAAAAUGUUUUGAAAACUUCCAGUGUGCCAAGUACUCUUUUGGGUGCUGAGGAUAUAACUAUACAAAUGUGAGUCAUCUUUUGAAUAUGCUAUUCUUCAACAUUUUUGGACUUAGCUAUUUUAAUAAGUUCUAUACUUGUAGGAAGUUUA